AGAUGUGGAGUCAUGCGGCAACAACAGCAAGUGCUCCUGCCUCUGAGCUGCAAGCCUCCAAUGCGGAGAGGUCCCAGGCUCGGGGCCUCGCCGCAGCGCACGCACGCGCUGCCCUGCUGCUUGCAUAACCUGCCAUCGGGCCCCAGGGCUCUCCUUCCGGGCUUCGAAACAAUGUCCACGCUCCGAAGCAGGCCCUGGUGCCCUGCGGUUCUCUGCCCCAAAGGUGUGUGGGAUGGCUCAGCUGUCAGCACCUGCCCGUGAGAUAAAGAAAAGUGCCAUAGGCUGAUCCUCUCAAGGCACCAGCACCAAGGAGGAGGCUGGUGACAGGUCCCAGAUGGCCCCGCAGCACGCACCCCAGCACCCUACGCAGAGGGCGAGUGAGGACUGUUAGCUGAAGUGCAGGCUGGACAGGGGACCAGGGCUGCUCUGUGGGUGACAGGCGGGGCGGCUGUCCUUCAGGCAAGAGCUGUCGCAGUGGCUGUGAGGCCCCUCCUCUCCUCCCGUGACUCACCUGGAGCAAAGCGACAAAGUAGGUCAAGCGCCUUCUCGGCGCCCUCUCACCUCCAAUCACUGUACCUACCGGUGCUGGCUCUUGCCUGGCUCUGCUUCCGAGCAGCCGUCCAUUUGUUCCACAAAGCUCGGAGCACCUGCUCCAUGCCAGGUGCUGUGCCAAGCAGUGGGCACCAGGCAGGGCUUUCUCAGUGCCUCGUGACGCCCUGCAGUGCACUGCCUGGGCCUCUGCUCCUGCCAGUCUCAGCCCCAUCGUGUCCCCAGACUACCCUUUCCUGCACUCACCUCCUGUGACACUGCCCCUCAACCGUGGAAGCAGACUAUUGCCCUAUAGUUGGCAUCACAGCAAACUAGCACGUUGUUCUCACAAAAGCAUCGCCUCUGCCAAGCACGGGUUUCUUUCCAGAGUUUCUGCGUAUUGCAAGGUGACGGCCUGAAAAAACCAUGCCUUCCAUGGGAUGAAAAAGUAACUGAUUGGGGAAACUGAGGCACAGGGGCACAAGGAGAAAGUAACACAUUGCCUGAGCAGGAUCUUUCCAGUUUCACAGGCGGAUUCUCACGGGAAUUGCUGCAUUCAGAAGAGAGUUUGUGAUUCAGGCAGCAGUUCCGUCGUGGUCUGCACAACAGGAAGUAGCCAGUGGAGGAGGAGGUAGGGGCGGAAGACAGGUCAGGUGGCGGUUCCUGCGGCUUCACGACCUUGGGCCGCCUCGCUUAACCUCCCUGGAUCCCAGAAGUGGAGCAGCGUGGCCCUGGCAGGCUUGUGCCCAGGUCUAAGGAGUGAACCUAGCUCAGGUCACUGCCACCAGCUGUAGCUCGCCACCUUUUCUCCUGUAUGUCACCAUCUAAGUUUUUGGCCCAUACUUGGAAAGCCAAAGCCUUCCCCGAAGCUGAGGUCAUGAGGCAGAAAAAGGCAACAACUCUGCUUCCUGAGAGCGGGUUCGGUUGGCAGUGGCGCCAAGCUCCUCUCUGUGGCCUACUUAUCUUUGGGUAAAGGAGUCCCCAGCAAACCCAGCGGGAGGGGACUGGCCCACCCACCGCAGGGGGGCAGGGAGCCGGACAACGACCUGGGAGCCGGAAGCUGCCCUGCGCCCCAGCCUCACGGAAGAUGAAAUACGACGACCACAAGAUUCACACCUCAGCCCAUGAAACACAAUCUACUUCUUGCCCCGUCACCUGGCGGGGGUCCCUGGCAGCUGCUUCCUAAGCUACAGCGAUGCGUGUCCAGCACUGCUCACUCCGAGUCACGGGAACGGCUGUUACCAUUUUCCAACUUUGUGUCCUCUGGGUGUAUCCAGGUGUGUGUAGCAAACAGGGUUUUGAGAAUGGAGACAGUUUUGAUAAAAUGGUAAAAUGGAGAGACUAAUCUUUUUUAAA